rnacentral:lncRNA from 1 species
GAAGAAAUUUGGGAAUUUUUGGGUCAUUUGGUGGAAAUUUGGGGGAAAUUCGGGGGUUUUGAGGAAAAAUUGGGAAUUUUGGGGAAAAUUCAGGAGAAUUCGGGAUUUUUUGGGGAAUUUUGGGGAAAUUUGGGAAUUUUGGGGGGAAAUUGGGGGAAAUUUCGGAAUUUUGGGAGAAUUUCGGGUUUUUUUAAGGAAAUUUGGGGGAAAAUUGAGGUUUUAGGGGGGAAAUUUGGGAAUUUUGGGGGAAAUCGGAAUUUUUUAGAGGAAAUUUGGGAAUUUUUGGAGAAUUUGGGGAAAAUUUGGGAAUUUUGGGGUCGUUUUAAGGGGAUUUGGGGAGAAAAUUGGGAUUUUUUGUGGAAAUUCAGAGAAAAAUGGGAAAAUCUUGGUUUGCAGAGAGAAAAAUUUGGGAUUUUGGGGAGAUUUUGGGGAAUUCUGGAUCAUUUUGGGCAUCUUUUGAUUAAAAAAUGGGAAUUUCAGCCAGAAAACUCGGGAAUUUUGGUGAUUUGGGAGAGAUUUGGGAUAAAAAUUGGGAUUUUGGGGGGAAAUUCGGGGAUAUUGGGGGGAAAAUUGGAAUUUUUGAGGGAUUUUGGGGAAAAAAUUGGGAUUUUUCCGGGGAAAUUUGGGAAUUUUGGGAUAAUUCGAGUAAAUUUGGGAAUUUUGGGUGGAAUUUCGUGGAAAAAUUGGGAUUUUUUUCAUGGAUUUUGGGGGAAAUUUGGGAUUUUUUUGAGGGAUUUUGGAGGAAAAUUUGGGAUUUUUGAGAAAAAAUUUGGGAUUUUGGGGGAAUUUUGGGAUAAUUCGGGAAAAUUUGGGAGGGAUUUGGGCAAAAUUUUGGAAUUUUGGGAAAAAAUUCCGGAUUUUUCGCCAUUUUUUCCUCCUUUUUUGGUCACUUCCGGUUUUGCUCCCUUUGGCCCCGCCCCCUUUCAGCUCUCAGCCAAUCCCUGCUCGAGCUGCUGCGGGAAAUGGGCGUGGCCGACCCUCAGCGCUUCCGGGUGGGCGUGGCCUCGCUGGACCCCGCCCACGCCGCCAUCUUGGUUCAGCUAUUGGAUGACGUCAUCGGCGACCAAUAAAAACGCGGGAAGGGAAAAGGGGGCGUGGUUUAUUCCGGAAGUGGGCGGGGCUUGGGGAAUUCCAGCGGAUUUUAGGGGGGAA